rnacentral:rRNA from 1 species
CGACUCUCGGCAACGGAUAUCUCGGCUCUCGCAUCGAUGAAGAACGUAGCGAAAUGCGAUACUUGGUGUGAAUUGCAGAAUCCCGUGAACCAUCGAGUCUUUGAACGCAAGUUGCGCCCCAAGCCAUUAGGCCGAGGGCACGCCCGCCUGGGUGUCACG